rfam:Influenza A virus (A/chicken/NJ/150383-7/02(H7N2)) nonstructural protein 1 gene, complete cds; and nonstructural protein 2 gene, partial cds.
UGCCAGGACAUUCUGCAGAGAAUGUCAAAGAUGCAAUUGGAAUCCUCA